GCUGGGCGUGGUGGCGCUCGCCUGUAAUCCCAACUACUUGGGAGGCUGAGGCAGAUGAAUUGCUUGAACCUAGGAGGUGGAGGUUGCAGUGCACCAAGAUCGCGCCACUGCACUCCAGCCUGGGCGAAAGAGCAAGACUCUGUCUCGA
rfam:Gorilla gorilla gorilla genomic chromosome, chr15, whole genome shotgun sequence